AGAGUUUGAUCCUGGCUCAGGAUGAACGCUAGCGGCAGGCCUAACACAUGCAAGUCGAGGGAGGAGCUUUCGGGCUUCGACCGGCGUACGGGUGCGUAACGCGUAUACAAUCUGCCUUUCACAUAGGGAUAGCCCGAAGAAAUUUGGAUUAAUACCUAAUGGUAUAUAGGAGUGGCAUCACCUUUAUAUUAAAGCUGAGGCGGUGAAAGAUGAGUAUGCGUUCUAUUAGCUAGUUGGAGAGGUAACGGCUCCCCAAGGCGACGAUAGAUAGGGGUUCUGAGAGGGAUGUCCCCCACACUGGUACUGAGAUACGGACCAGACUCCUACGGGAGGCAGCAGUGAGGAAUAUUGGACAAUGGUCGGAAGACUGAUCCAGCCAUGCCGCGUGCAGGAUGACGGCCUUAUGGGUUGUAAACUGCUUUUGUAAGGGAAGAAUAAGAGCUACGCGUAGUUUGAUGACGGUACCUUACGAAUAAGCAUCGGCUAACUCCGUGCCAGCAGCCGCGGUAAUACGGAGGAUGCAAGCGUUAUCCGGAUUUAUUGGGUUUAAAGGGUGCGUAGGCGGUAUUACAAGUCAGGGGUGAAAUCUUGGUGCUUAACAUUAAAAUUGCCUUUGAAACUGUGGUACUUGAGUGUAAAAGAGGUAGGCGGAAUGUGUUGUGUAGCGGUGAAAUGCAUAGAUAUAACACAGAACACCGAUUGCGAAGGCAGCUUACUAUCAUACAACUGACGCUGAUGCACGAAAGCGUGGGGAUCAAACAGGAUUAGAUACCCUGGUAGUCCACGCAGUAAACGAUGAUUACUAGCUGUUAGCGAUAUAUUGUUAGUGGCUAAGCGAAAGCGAUAAGUAAUCCACCUGGGGAGUACGUUCGCAAGAAUGAAACUCAAAGGAAUUGACGGGGGCCCGCACAAGCGGAGGAACAUGUG
rnacentral:rRNA from 1 species